GAUGAACGCUGGCGGCGUGCCUAAUACAUGCAAGUCGAGCGAACAGACGAGGAGCUUGCUCCUCUGAUGUUAGCGGCGGACGGGUGAGUAACACGUGGAUAACCUACCUAUAAGACUGGGAUAACUUCGGGAAACCGGAGCUAAUACCGGAUAAUAUUUUGAACCGCAUGGUUCAAUAGUGAAAGACGGUCUUGCUGUCACUUAUAGAUGGAUCCGCGCUGCAUUAGCUAGUUGGUAAGGUAACGGCUUACCAAGGCAACGAUGCGUAGCCGACCUGAGAGGGUGAUCGGCCACACUGGAACUGAGACACGGUCCAGACUCCUACGGGAGGCAGCAGUAGGGAAUCUUCCGCAAUGGGCGAAAGCCUGACGGAGCAACGCCGCGUGAGUGAUGAAGGUCUUCGGAUCGUAAAACUCUGUUAUUAGGGAAGAACAUAUGUGUAAGUAACUGUGCACAUCUUGACGGUACCUAAUCAGAAAGCCACGGCUAACUACGUG
rnacentral:rRNA from 1 species